GAGGCACACAGAAAAAUUGCUCCCCACAAAUGUAGCUAUUAUUUGACAGAUUCCCUUUCCUCUGGCAUGAAAGGCCGUUUUAACCUCCUCUGCUCCGCGAUCAGCGUGGGGAAGCGGGGCGCUUUUCCAUGUGGAUCCGGGCGGCACCACCAAGACUGGACCAGACAAGAAAGCGACAAGAACCAGGAAUGAGCUUCCCAAGAAUGUGAGGGCAAGACAUUCUAACUGGGAUGUCAACGGCUGGCGGUGACGCUGUUCCCUUUCUCGCCCGCAUUUUUGGGUGUCCAGUGAUUGACUUGUUCGGAACUCGAGUACUUUCAUUCCCACAACCUGCCUGAACGUUUCAGCAGACUGCAGGGGAGUCAGAGCAAUGUUAUCUCCGAAACAUAAUGCUAAUAAAUGUGUUCAUAUGUUGGACAUUCCCCUGGCCUGUUUUAUGGGGUUUCACUGGUGGUGUUUUAAUGGGCUGGGUCAUUGAGACUGAUGCUAGCAAGGUUAUUAGGAUUAAGUAACCUAAUGAAUCGUGUUACCAUUAGCGGGCUUUGAAGGAAGGUUGUUUCCCAUGCAACGUGGUUUUGUGACUCUUAACACGGACAAUUAUGUUUAAGUGUACCUGGAUAAGGGUUGGGGGUGGAAAUCGUUUCCUUUUUUUAAACUGAGUCUCUUAGGCGCAGAAAGGGGUUUACUGAUGUAGCAGCUAAAGAAAGAGACAGAAGGCUGUUUAUUUUUUUAUCCUGUGAAUGUCCAGAGUUGCUCAUUGAGCCAGAAAUCUUGUCCGGGUUUCCAUGAUAUUUUAAAGAGCAAAAGUCAUGUAAGCGGCUCCCUUGUGUAUGUUUCAAUUUGUUCGAAAUAGAUAGAAAUGAGAUUUCUCUCUGAGACGUUAUUUGGUGAAAUUAUUUAGACAAACCAAUCACAAACAAACCCACACCAAGAGGGACUGACCGAUUUUUUUACUAAUGGCAUUUAGAAAAAAAAUCGAAGGCGUUAUUUAAAAAAAAUAGUUCAAUUUUAUUUUGAAGAACGAAACAGCUCCAGCUGGACCAUGAUUUGCUGUAUUCUCUGCACAGUGUUUGCUGCCUGCCUACUCUCUGCCACUCUGUGCAAGGCUCAGAAGCAACCAGCAGGUUGACUUGAGUGAACUCGGGCGCCAUCCACUGUCUUCUUUCUACUGGGCAAACUAGGCAAGGGAAACUGUUUGGCAACCGGAUUUAGAUUAAUACCGUGGAUAAAUUUGCCAUUAAUUGCCCUCCGGAGAGGGAGUUUCAAUGUAAUUAUAAUUUAUGGAUUGUAAUAAUCACUCGAGGGUGACCAUAUCUGUUAAUGGCUAAUUAAAUUAGAUCAUAUUUGA